AAUACGACUACCACACUACAAAUCCCUAACCUUCUUCCACAGCCCCCAGUCUCGCUGUGUCAUACACUAGAACGACAGCCGCUUCUAUCUCCAGCGUCGCUGCCUCCUCUCAUCUGGUCUUCUGUCCCUCUCUCCGCUGCUGCUGUGCUCUCUUCUCACCCAGUCUCGGUUACUACGUCUAUACUCUCGCUCUAACCUCCGCACACCGCCUGCAAACUAUGCUGCUGGCACCGCAACGAAUACCGCCUCCUUCAGAAACUUAGGUUGCCAGUGCAAUUUAUCAAAUGGAUAUUAAUGGGCAUGGCGGUGAUGAGGAGAACGUGGGAGAUGCUGCAGAAAUAUAAAUAUAGUUAUAAGAAUUUUGCACUCUAACAACACAACAGGUAGCUUAGAAUAUUUCAAUAUUUGGGGUGCUAUUUUUCCACAUUAGCUUUCAAAAUGCAGCUAGAACAAAGCACAUGUGAAGACCAAACUAGUUGGGCAAAGAAAGUGUUGCUGGUCAAACCCUAGCAUGUCAUUGGAAUUUUUUGUAUUGUUUUAAGUAGGAUAGGAAGUGUAUGAAUAAAACAUGAAGCAUGGCAUAAAUAAAACAUUAUGCUUGGACAUAUAACGUACGAUGGAGGGAAAAUGUUGAAGGAUAGCGUGAGAAAGAUUGGAUCAUUGUCUCAAGAGAUGACACAAGCUAUCCACCUUCUGUAAUGUUUGGUCUAUUAAGUAAUAACGUAGAUUUUAAAUGAAAAUAACAAAAAAUGUAAAAUUUGUAAAUUCUGAUUGACUGGUAUUCCAAUUCUUCUCUUUCUUUUAUGCAUCCCGUUUUACGCCACCACCUUCUCACCGUGCCGUGCCGCUGCACGUUGAUCCUGUGCAUUCAUGGCACGAGAGUGUCGCCUCUGUAGAACUCAGCCUGUGCAAGAAUUCAAACAUACCCUCCUUGUGCCAUCUUGACUCUCUGCGCUGUUGCUGCAGUGUUCCUUCACUUCGGGGCACUUCUUGGAAGCCGAUCCCUAUUUUCUCUGAUACGAAUGUCUAUUUCAUAACUUCCAGCACUGUAUCAACUGUCACAUUAUUGUAAUCAAUGAAUUUGUAGUUGUUGCAUUGUGAAAAUGUUGUAACAAUUAACACUUACAUUACAUCUUCGCUAUUCUUUAAUUUAUUUAUUUAUUUUAAUAUCAAUGUAUGAGGUGAUAUUGUUGUAUGUAGAAUUAGACAUGUAUUAACUGAAUGUGGGACCAGAAAAAAAAGAAAGACGUCCUGGGCUGUGUUUAUGAUUGAUUGGCUUUGUUAUGUUCUGUAUUUGUUCAUGGUUUAUAUUGAGGUAGUCAAUAAAUAGCUUGAAUUCGUUAUCUUCCCAUUUACUUGAGUUUGUAAAUGAGUUAAUGUGAAGUCUGAAAGUUGAAAUGAUCACAAGUUGAGAACAUGUUAACAGGGACUUAGUAGAGUGAGAUUAUGCUGAUUGAUUAGGUUUGAAUUAAUGUUUUUAUUUAUUUCAUAAUUUGAAUUUUGAUGCCUUUUUUGUUCUUCUUUCAAUACUCCAAUCUAUUAAUGUAAUUGUAUUUUGU